GUACUGCUUUGUUGAAAUUUUCUCUUUCUUACAUAAAGAAUGAAUUAGACUCUGAUACACUGUGCCAGGACUGAAUCGACUGACCGAGGGAUAGAUUACGCAAGUAAAACCCAGGCCCCUAAGGAAGAGAAUAUACUCUAUAGACAUCACUUUGAUUCUACGUCUGCGGUUUUGACAUCAUAACCCAUGUGCCCAACACAUAGAACCUCAGGGGCGCGCGCGCACACACACACACCACACCACACACACGGACACUGUCUUCUGAGGCUUUUCUUUCUUUUUCUUUCUUUUUUCUUCAUGCUACAGUGAACUGGGAGAACAAAAAGAAAAGCUAAAGAAAUACAUGCCCGCUUAGAGGCAUGUGUGCGAGUGUGUGUGUGUGCACCGUGCCUUUUCCACCCAGGGUCUCCGAGCUGCAGUUUCCCUCUUGGAGCUUUUCUUGUCUAUUUCAAAGCCUCUUCGCAAGUUUGACACUGACAGGGAGAACAAUGAAAAGUGAGCCGCAGCUGAGAAAUGAACAGAAAGAAGUGACUGACUUUGGGCUACUGUGCUGGGGGAGAAAACUGAGGCUCACUGAGAUUCAGGGAUAAUUCCCCAUCCCCAGAACUGCAAGCAAGAGCUACUGCUUUUUCCCAUUAUGUCUCCUAUUUCUUAUGAUAAAUAGUUUUGAUUAUUAGGCAACACUUCUUUGUCACACAAAUGUAACUUCAGGUGAAAAUCUGCUGUGCAAUAAUAACUAAUAGUAUGGGAAUUUAUUAAAUCUCGACAAUUUCCCCUACCUAUUCUAUGUUUUGGCCCAUUUUCAUUGUACUGGUAAAUUCUGAUAAAAUAUCAGAGCUCUCAUUUCCUUUACAUAUAGUUACACUAAAACUUUAAGAAGGCAUGACUGAAUGUAACUUCUCAAAUCUGUUUUUCUCUACAAUGUGCUACCUAUAUCGUUACAAAAAAUUCACAAGAUUAGAUUGUUUUACUCCUUUCUGUCUACUCUGCACCUAGAACAAUGCUUGGCACGUAGUAGUUGCUUGAUAAAUGUUGAAUGAACAAAUGACUGGUUUUAGUAUUUUUUAAAAUUGUGCACUUUCUCUCGCACCCUUUCUCUCUCACGCACCCCACUCUCUUCCUCUCUCUCUCUCUUUCUCUCUCUCUCUAUAUAUCCUGUAUAGCUUUACUAUACAGAGUACAGAUUUAGAAUUUAGUAUUGAUCAAAUUAGGUUUUAGUAUUGUUUUAAAGAAAGGAAACCCUAUUUUCCUUCUUUCUUCACAUAGAACAUGAUCUUAAAUUACACAAACUGCCCUGCUUAUUCACUUGAACUUACACAACCUGUAAAACCCAAUGUCGAGGUGAACAUUCUUAAUCUUACAUAAGAAAAUUUCAAUUAGCCAAGCUAAUUAAGGAGAACUGAUUAUCCAAUAAUUUCAGAAAUUAAUAGUACCAGAAUUGUUAUAAUAGGAUGUCUCAAAAGAUCUUCCCCAAAAGGGAUGAUUUAGGCUGGGCACAGUGGCUCACUCCUAUGAUCCCAGUACUUUGCUUGAGCUCAGGAGUUUGAGACCAGCCUUGGCAACAUGGGAAAACCCUGUCUCUACAAAAAAUACAAAAAUCAGCCAGGUGUGGUGGCAUGAACCUGUACUUCCAGCUACUUGGGAGGCUGAAGGGGGAAGAUCACUUAAGUUUGGGAGGUUGAGGCUGCAGUGAGCUGUAAUCAUGCCAGCGCCUGGGCAACAGAGUGAGACUCUGUCUCCAAAAAACAAGGGGGAAUAGUUUAGUUGAGCAUGAGUUGAAUGGUAUGUAAACAUAUUUGGAGUCAUCUUGAAGCAUAUUUCAAUAUGCCUGUUGACUAUGUGCCUUUUAUAUGGGUUUCAUUUUCAUUAGGCUGACCACAACAUUCAGAAUAUGUGGUCAUUAUUAUCUGUAAUGACAACAGUGCAAUUAGCAAACUUCUUGCUUCUACUGGAGGAGGAAAAUGAAGACAUGGGCAGAAAGGCAUCAACUAAACAAAUAGGAAAACUGUGAGUAAAGAGCUUCAACAGGAGUUGGACAAGAUAACUUUGGGCAGAAAAUAAUGAAUAUAUUUUGCGGAC
ensembl:lncRNA